rnacentral:tRNA from 2 species
GCGGGUAUAGUUUAGUGGUAAAAGUGUGAUUCGUUCUAUUAAUAACUGAAUUUGAAAUGAUAGAUGCGGGUUCGAUUCCCGCUACCCGCUCCA